CAGAGUUGCAAAACUCCCACAAACCAUCGCGAAUCUUACCCGUACGGUUGCCUCGGCGCUGGCGGUCCGGAAGGCCCUCGGGCCCCCCGGAUCCUCGGGUCUCCCGCUCGCGGGAGGCUGCCCGCCGGAGUGCCGAAACCAAACUCUUGGAUAAUUUUAUGUCUCUCUGAGUAAACUUUUAAAUAAGUCA
rnacentral:misc_RNA from 1 species